GAGUUUGAUCCUGGCUCAGAGCGAACGCUGGCGGCAGGCCUAACACAUGCAAGUCGAACGGAUCCUUCGGGGUUAGUGGCGGACGGGUGAGUAACACGUGGGAACGUGCCUUUAGGUUCGGAAUAGCUCCUGGAAACGGGUGGUAAUGCCGAAUGUGCCCCUCGGGGGAAAGAUUUAUCGCCUUUAGAGCGGCCCGCGUCCGAUUAGCUAGUUGGUGAGGUAACGGCUCACCAAGGCGACGAUCAGUAGCUGGUCUGAGAGGGAUGACCAGCCACACUGGGACUGAGACACGGCCCAGACUCCUACGGGAGGCAGCAGUGGGGAAUCUUGCGCAAUGGGCGAAAGCCUGACGCAGCCAUGCCGCGUGAAUGAUGAAGGUCUUAGGAUUGUAAAAAUUCUUUCACCGGGGACGAUAAUGACGGUACCCGGAGAAGAAGCCCCGGCUAACUUCGUGCCAGCAGCCGCCGUAAG
rnacentral:rRNA from 1 species